rnacentral:lncRNA from 1 species
AAGCACUCUUCUAUGGCUUAACCUUCAGACAACCCUACAGGUUUGAGAACCAUUUUACAGAUAAGGAAAACCGUGACUUUCGGGCACAUGAAGUAAGAAUACAUGGGAAUUUAAAUCAGGGUUCUGGGAAGUCUUUGACAAUAUCAUGCAAUCUGAGUGAGACCAAGGUUUAAGAUGUUCAGAUAGGUGCUCAGGUCAUUAGUCAUCACAAGUAGGAAAAAGCCAUAAGG